UAUGAUUUUUUUUCUUCAAUACCGACCUGAUAGAAAGGACAAUAAAGGCCAGAAAACAAAAACAAAAAAAAAGUAAAUGAUCCAUUGAAGCAAAAAAGACCUUUAUUAGCAUUCUUUCUGUUCAUAUCAGAUGUUAAGAAGAAGGGGACGACUGGAAACAUAAUCAAGGCCGGGCAUUGCACUGGAUGACAGAAAAAUAAACAAGUACGUCUCUGAGAAUCCUGAAAUUUGGGACAUGCUGUCUUCAGAAUCCAUUUCGCCAACCGUUACUACGUGAACCACCUAGAGACUUGGGAGAAUUAUAUGAAGGGGACAACGCCAGAUCAAAUUUGUCUCAGACACAUGUGAAAGUAUAAUGCGGCAGAUGCGACCAGCCAUGGAUCUUUGAAUGGAAUAGAGAUUUGAGGCCUUUCUGACAAUUCCGGGAAAUGAGAGACAUGUAGGGAGACGCAAAAAAACAAUGGUCGAUGGUGAUGGUUACGAGAGAUGCAAAGAUAAUGGUGGAUGGAAUUGAUCGAGGGUGAACUAAAAAUUUCUUACUUCAUUUUCGUUUUGUUGUUUUUCUUUGAUUUCCAAUUACUGGUAAUUUGAUCUUUUUCGUGCAGGUGCAAGUGGAAUUGGUUUGUAGACGUAAAAAUGGACUGAAAAGACAUGUAUAUGUGUUCAAACGUUCAGUUGAUUGUAUUCCUAAAGCUUUUGUGGACUCCAAAAUGUGGUGUUUUUGGAGUUGGGAGGGAUAGGUGAAUACUUUGUUUUACUAUGAAUAUUGUGAACUCUAUUUUUUUUUUAUCGGUCUAACUCUUAAUAGUUUUAACAGAAUCAAUUGUAUGUUCUUAGAAUGUGACAUUCU